AGUGAACGCUGGCGGUAGGCCUAACACAUGCAAGUCGAACGGCAGCACAGUAAGAGCUUGCUCUUACGGGUGGCGAGUGGCGGACGGGUGAGGAAUACAUCGGAAUCUACUUUUUCGUGGGGGAUAACGUAGGGAAACUUACGCUAAUACCGCAUACGACCUACGGGUGAAAGCAGGGGAUCUUCGGACCUUGCGCGAUUGAAUGAGCCGAUGUCGGAUUAGCUAGUUGGCGGGGUAAAGGCCCACCAAGGCGACGAUCCGUAGCUGGUCUGAGAGGAUGAUCAGCCACACUGGAACCGAGACACGGUCCAGACUCCUACGGGAGGCAGCAGUGGUGAAUAUUGGACAAUGGGCGCAAGCCUGAUCCAGCCAUACCGCGUGGGUGAAGAAGGCCUUCGGGUUGUAAAGCCCUUUUGUUGGGAAAGAAAAGCAGCAGGUUAAUACCCCGCUGUUCUGACGGUACCCAAAGAAUAAGCACCGGCUAACUUCGUG
rnacentral:rRNA from 1 species